rnacentral:rRNA from 1 species
UAAAGUGGCGCACGGGUGAGUAACACGUAGGUAAUGUGCCUUUGGGUGGGGAAUAACUUAGGGAAACUUAAGCUAAUACCGCAUAACGCGAUAACUUCUUCGGAAGAUUUUGUUAAAGAUUUAUCGCCUGAAGAGCAGCCUGCGGCAGAUUAGCUAGUUGGUAAGGUAACGGCUUACCAAGGCUACGAUCUGUAUCCGACCUGAGAGGGUGGUCGGACACACUGACACUGAAUAACGGGUCAG